UUUCUCCCUGUCGAAUUCAAUUCGAAGAGAGUUUAUUCUCUUCUUCUUCUUCUUCUUCUUCUUCUUCUUCUCUUCUUCUGUUCGUCAUCUCUUUCUCCCUGUCGAAUUCAAUUCCAAAGGUCUAGAUGAGUCGAGUUUUUCUUUUUUUGGGGAGUGAUUCAUGUAAAUAUUGAGAUCUAGAUAAAUCUAAGAAGAGGAUGAUGAAUCUGGAAACUAAUUGAGAAGGAAUACAAAUCAGGGUUUCUCCUACCAUACUUUUCUUCUUCUUCUGCAACAAACUCCUACCAUACUUUUCUUCUCCGACAAACCAUGGCUCUUCCUCAUGAAUCAGUUGAGUUGUUUCCGUCAAUUUGAAAAAUGGGUCUCGAGAUUUCACAGGAAAAAGGUUUCUGUGAGAUUCGAUUUGGAUUGAUUCUCUAUGGGAUUUGUUCUCACCAACAGAAGGGUAAAAUCGUGCGCGUUGUUAGAAAAUGAGAACAAUUGUGGGUGAGAAAGUUCAUAUUUCAGGUGGUAUCACGAUUUGAACUACAUUGGCUAAGAUGUGCAGAACACCAAGUAUUUUCCUUCUUUAUUACCUUUUGUUUCUCGAAUGUACCUUUGCAACAGUGUUUCCUUGACACGGCGAAGAGGUAGAUCUUUGCAAUUCUAUAUCAUCCCGACCUUAUCCCCCUUUUUUAAUUUAGUCGAGCUAAGGCUACAUCUCUCUGCAGAAAGGAUGUUGAUAAGAUUGUUACAAUACUGAUGUUCCUGUCGGAAGUCAUUAUAAAAGGUGAUACUGUCAUUUGAGGUAAGGAUACAUGAAUGGCAGAAAGGAGAAGAAGAGGAGUGUUCCCACAACUGUGAAACUAAACAACAAAGUAAACUGUUAUCAACGAAAGGAAAAAAGACACGAGUCAUCCAGGAAGGAUGAAAGACGAUGAUGUAAUUAAGUUUCUGUUUUAGAGUUAUCAUCAUUGGCUGUCUCUUCAUCUUGUAAUUUACAAUUGAUGUUUUACGAAAUCUACUUUAGCAAAGAAUAGAGUUAUUGUUUCUUU